GCAUAAUAAAAGAGAGAAAGUAUAGAGAGAUAACCAAGUGGGAGAAGUUCAUAACUUCGACAAAAUUCUUGAUGUCUUCCAGCGGAUCCUUUUAUCGGUAUAUCCAUUAUCAUUCCCAUGGACGAUGGUGUAUGAUCCGGUGUGGUACAAAUUUGAGAUCAACAUCAUAUGACACUCCAUUGGUGGUGUUGAAGAAGUUUUGAGUCGAUUGAUUUGAUUUUUUACACUUUGAGAGUUCAUGUUUCCGCAUUAUAGUUGUAAUAAUAAUUUAUACACUACAUUUUAAACUCUACAAAGAGUUGAUAUCUUCCCUCUAAGUCUAACUGUUGAGUAUCGUGGCAUGGCAUGGGUGCUUUCGUGCUGGUGAGAAAAAAAUGACUAAAUAGUCCUGGUAACUUCCUAAGAGUUCAAAGCAUGAUCGAGAGUUUAUGUCACAAAUUUAUGCGAAUUCUCUCCUCAAGAAUUUUUUUCAUUUAUUUUGACUAUGCAAUCAUGGCGUUACUAACAAAAUGUGUUACUAAGAAAAACUAUAGAAUCAGCAUAUAUCGUUGGAUAAAUUUAAUCUCCACCAUCGUUUCCAAGAAGAUGGGGGGCAUAGAUAGACGGUGAGAUCCUUUGCAAACCAUCCAAUUUAUGUGAAACAAGUUAGAACGAGCUAAGUGAGUGCAAGGGUUUGUAAAUACAAUUUGUACUUUGG
rnacentral:lncRNA from 1 species